UUAACUUUCAUCUGAUAAAUAUAUAAAAAUUAUGUAAAAAUGAAGUGCUUAUCAUUUAUACGUUUGAGAAAAUUCUGUUUUCUAAUUCCCUUGGGCAGGGGCUGUGCGAUGAUAUCCCUGAUCCUGCUUCUCUUUGAAGUGAUUGCCCCGCCCUGAUUAACCCGGGCCCUAAGAAAACCGUUGGAUACUACCUAGUCUUGAGCUAUAGGUUCUUGAAUAUAAUUCAUACUUUGAGUUGUAUAAUUCUCUUGAUAUCUUACUUUGUGAGAUAUUCGGGACUUGUAAUGAUCUUUAUGUGGACUUUGAUUUUCAUAUGAUAGUGCUGCCGGUAUUUUGGUUCUUGGAAUUGUAUAUCUGGCACAGAGAAAUCAUAGAUGUAUGGAUUAGCCUUGCUGGGGAAAUCCUAGGCUUAUACUUUUUGCUGGUGGCCUAUUCAUAUUAUCGCGAGUGCAAGGAGGAGCAAUUUCCAAAUAAAAAGCUAAGUGUUAGCUUUGCCCCGGAUAUUUCCUAAAUCAAAUCAAACUUGAAACAAUAAAAUAGUAAAAUACGUCUUAGAAAACCUGGAAUA